rnacentral:rRNA from 1 species
UAAACUAGGAUUAGAUACCCUAUUAUAAAAAAUGUAAAUAUUUAUGCUGGAAUAGUAUUAGUUAUGUUCUUGAAAUUUAAAAAAUUUGGCGGUAUUUUAGUCUUUUCAGAGGAACCUGUUCUGUAAUUGAUAGUCCACGAUUAAUUGUACUUAAUUUACUAGUUUGUAUAUCGUCGUAGGUUGAAUGUCUUAGGAGAGAGAAAUGUUCAUAAUUUAGAAUUUAAUAAAGGAAAUCAGAUCAAGAUACAGUUUAUAAUUAAGGAGAAAUGGGUUACAAUAAAAAUAUUUAUAUGGUUAUAAUAAUUAAAAUUAUUAUAUAAAGUGGAUUUGAAAGUAAUAUAUUUAAGUUAAAAUAUAUGAUUUAAGCUCUAAAAUAUGCACAUAUCGCCCGUCGCUUUCAUUGAAAUUAUUAAAAAUGAAAUAAGUCGUAACAUAGUAGGUGUACCGGAAGGUGUACCUAGCUAGCAAAUUAGAUCUUGUUAUAAGUUUCUUAUUUACAUUAAGAAGAAAGUUGUUUAAAUCAAUGUAAUUUGAAUUUUAAAAUUUAUUUAUUUUUUUUUUAAUUGAUUUUUUUAAAAAAAAUAUUUUUAUAUUUGUUUAUUAAUUAAGAUAAAAUUAAUUGUAAUUAUAGUUUAUUAGUAUAGUAAUAGAAUAUUGAAAUAUAUGAAAUAUAUAAAUAUAAAAAAGAAAAAUUUAAUUUUUGUACCUUGUGUAUCAGGGUUUAUUAAAUAAUAAUUAUAAAAUUUUAAUUUUCUCGAAUUUAAAAGAGUUAAGAAAUUAUAUAUUUUAUUGUAAAAUAAAUAUUUAAAAUAAUUUUUUAGUAAUGAAACGUUAUACGUUUUUAAAUUUAUCUAGUUUUUUAAGAAAUAAAUUUAAUUUAGUAAAUUAUUGUUUAAUUAAAAUAAAUUUUUAUUUUAUAUUAAUAUAAUUUAUUAAUAUUUUAAGGGAUAAGCUUUAAAAUAAAGAAUUUAUAAAUUUUUUUAUUAAGUUAAAAAUAAUUAGAAUUGAAAGUUUUUUAAUUAAUAGUGUGUUAUAACAAUUUUUUAUAAAAAUUUAAUUUUUAUAUAAUUUUAAAUUUUUUAUUAAAAUUAUUUAUUUAAUAAGAAAAUAUAUGUAAUAAUGAUAAAAUUAGUAUAAUUUAAUGUAUAUUAAUAAUUUAAUUAUAAAGGUUAAGUUAAGGAAUUCGGCAAAAUAUUUUUUCGCCUGUUUAUUAAAAACAUGUCUUUUUGAUAAUAAUUUAAAGUCUAGCCUGCCCUAUGAAUUGUUUUAAAUGGCUGCGGUAUUUUGACCGUGCAAAGGUAGCAUAAUAAUUAGUUUCUUAAUUAGGAACUGGUAUGAAUGGUUGGACGAGAAAAAUACUGUCUCAAUUUAAUUUUUAAUUAGAAUUUUAUUUUUAAGUUAAAAAGCUUAAAUGAUUUUAAAAGACGAGAAGACCCUAUAGAGUUUUAUAUUAAUAUUAGUAUAUAAAAAUUAAAGUAUUUUAAUUUUAUUUAUUUAAAUUAGUAUUUAAUUGGGGUGAUUGAAAAAUUUAAUUAACUUUUUUUAAUUUUUAAACAUUAAUGAAUGAAUAAUUGAUCCAUAUUUUUAUGAUUAUAAGAUUAAAUUACCUUAGGGAUAACAGCGUAAUUUUUUUUGAGAGUUCUUAUCGAAAAAGAAGUUUGCGACCUCGAUGUUGGAUUAAAAUUAACUUUUGGUGUAGCGAUUAAAAAGUUGGGUCUGUUCGACCUUUAAAAUUUUACAUGAUCUGAGUUCAAACCGGAGA